AACGAACGCUGGCGGCAGGCCUAACACAUGCAAGUCGAGCGCGCCCUUCGGGGUGAGCGGCGGACGGGUUAGUAACGCGUGGGAAUAUACCCGACACUAAGGAAUAGCCUCUGGAAACGGAGAGUAAUACCUUAUACGCCCUUCGGGGGAAAGAUUUAUCGGUGACGGAUUAGCCCGCGUUAGAUUAGAUAGUUGGUGGGGUAAUGGCCUACCAAGUCUACGAUCUAUAGCUGGUUUUAGAGGAUGAUCAGCAACACUGGGACUGAGACACGGCCCAGACUCCUACGGGAGGCAGCAGUGGGGAAUCUUGGACAAUGGGCGCAAGCCUGAUCCAGCCAUGCCGCGUGAGUGAUGAAGGCCUUAGGGUCGUAAAGCUCUUUCGCCAGAGAUGAUAAUGACAGUAUCUGGUAAAGAAACCCCGGCUAACUCCGUGCCAGCCGCCGCCGUAACAC
rnacentral:rRNA from 1 species